rnacentral:rRNA from 1 species
UGUAGUCAUAUGCUUGUCUCAAAGAUUAAGCCAUGCAUGUCUAAGUAUAAGCAAUUAUACAGCGAAACUGCGAAUGGCUCAUUAUAUAAGUUAUCGUUUAUUUGAUAGUACCUUACUACUUGGAUAACCGUGGUAAUUCUAGAGCUAAUACAUGCUAAAAAUCCCGACUUCGGAAGGGAUGUAUUUAUUAGAUUAAAAACCAAUGCCCUCUGGGCUCUCUGGUGAUUCAUGAUAACUUCUCGAAUCGCAUGGCCUUGUGCCGGCGAUGGUUCAUUCAAAUUUCUUCCCUAUCAACUUUCGAUGUUUGGGUAGUGGCCAAACAUGGUUGCAACGGGUAACGGGGAAUGGGGCGGGGGCGGCGGGCCGGGCGCGGGGCGCGGCGGGCGGCA